UUGUAGGUACUUUCAAGAAAUAUAGUUAACUGUAAGUGCUGUAUUUUAAUAAUCUGUCAAAAAUCAAAAUCAUCAGGAUAAUAUUAGGUAUUGAUUUUCAAACAAGAAUUAGAUUACAGCGAUGGUCAAAAGCAUUUAGAUAUUGCUUUGAAAUCUACAGAUAAGGUAUGGCAGUUUCGUUUUAAAGAACAAGAUGUUAAAGUUUAUGAUAAAAUUGUCAUCAGAAAUACUGUCCACUUGCAGUAUUUACAUAAGAAAAUGUUGGAGGAUGAAGCUCUACCUACUGCCUCAGGUUAAUUUAAAUUCUGAGUUGCAACAACAGCAACAAGCAAGAAGGGCACCAUUAAAUGAAUAUUAUACACAUAAAGCAACAACAGAAUAAAAAACCAUAAUAUGAACACCAGCAACUAAAACAGGAACCAUUAAAUGAAUAUUAUAUACGUAUAUGAAA